rnacentral:rRNA from 1 species
GACGAACGCUGGCGGCGCGCCUAACACAUGCAAGUCGAACGGAGUCACGAGGAGCUUGCUUUUCUUGACUUAGUGGCGAACGGGUGAGUAACGCGUGAGUAACCUGCCCUGGAGUGGGGGACAACAGUUGGAAACGACUGCUAAUACCGCAUAAGCCCACGGAUCUGCAUGGAUCUGCGGGAAAAGGAUUUAUUCGCUCUAGGAUGGACUCGCGUCCAAUUAGCUAGUUGGUGAGGUAACGGCCCACCAAGGCGACGAUUGGUAGCCGGACUGAGAGGUUGAACGGCCACAGUGGGACUGAGACACGGCCCAGACUCCUACGGGAGGCAGCAGUGGGGGAUAUUGCACAAUGGGGGAAACCCUGAUGCAGCGACGCCGCGUGGAGGAAGAAGGUUUUCGGAUUGUAAACUCCUGUCGUUAGGGACGAUAAUGACGGUACCUAACAAGAAAGCACCAGCUAACUACGUG